CAAGGCGACGAUCCCUAGCUGGUCUGAGAGGAUGACCAGCCACACUGGAACUGAGACACGGUCCAGACUCCUACGGGAGGCAGCAGUGGGGAAUAUUGCACAAUGGGCGCAAGCCUGAUGCAGCCAUGCCGCGUGUAUGAAGAAGGCCUUCGGGUUGUAAAGUACUUUCAGCGGGGAGGAAGGUGUUGUGGUUAAUAACCGCAGCAAUUGACGUUACCCGCAGAAGAAGCACCGGCUAACUCCGUGCCAGCAGCCGCGGUAAUACGGAGGGUGCAAGCGUUAAUCGGAAUUACUGGGCGUAAAGCGCACGCAGGCGGUCUGUCAAGUCGGAUGUGAAAUCCCCGGGCUCAACCUGGGAACUGCAUUCGAAACUGGCAGGCUUGAGUCUUGUAGAGGGGGGUAGAAUUCCAGGUGUAGCGGUGAAAUGCGUAGAGAUCUGGAGGAAUACCGGUGGCGAAGGCGGCCCCCUGGACAAAGACUG
rnacentral:rRNA from 1 species